GGAAUAUUGGACAAUGGGGGUAACCCUGAUCCAGCAAUGCCGAGUGAGUGAUGAAGGCCCUCGGGUCGUAAAGCUCUUUCAGCAGGGAGGAAGCACUGCCUGUACCUGAAGAAGAAGCACCGGCUAACUCCGUGCCAGCAGCCGCGGUAAUACGGAGGGUGCAAGCGCUGUUCGGCAUCAUUGGGCGUAGAGCGCGUGUAGGCGGCCAACUAAGUCUGAUGUGAAAGCCCGGGGCUUAACUCCGGAAGUGCAUUGGAUACUGGUUGGCUAGAGGGCGAGAGAGGGAAGUGGAAUGCCUGGUGUAGGGGUGAAAUCCGUAGAUAUCAGGAGGAACAUCAGUGGCGAAGGCGGCUUCCUGGCUCGUUUCUGACGCUGAGACGCGAAAGCGUGGGGAGCAAAC
rnacentral:rRNA from 1 species